UACGUAGGGUGCGAGCGUUAAUCGGAAUUACUGGGCGUAAAGCGUGCGCAGGCGGUUUUGUAAGCCAGAUGUGAAAUCCCCCGGGCUUAACCUGGGAAUGGCAUUUGGGACUGCAAGGCUGGAGUGUGGCAGAGGAGACUGGAAUUCCUGGUGUAGCAGUGAAAUGCGUAGAUAUCAGGAGGAAUACCGAUGGCGAAGGCAGGUCUCUGGGCUGACACUGACGCUGAGGAGCGAAAGCGUGGGGAGCGAACAGG
rnacentral:rRNA from 1 species